rnacentral:rRNA from 1 species
GAACGCUGGCGGCGUGCUUAACACAUGCAAGUCGAACGGAGUACCCCUGAAGGAGUUUUCGGACAACUGAUGGGACUACUUAGUGGCGGACGGGUGAGUAACGCGUGAGUAACCUGCCUUGGAGUGGGGAAUAACAGCUGGAAACAGCUGCUAAUACCGCAUAAUAUGUCUGUGUCGCAUGGCACUGGACAUCAAAGAUUUAUCGCUCUGAGAUGGACUCGCGUCUGAUUAGCUAGUUGGCGGGGUAACGGCCCACCAAGGCGACGAUCAGUAGCCGGACUGAGAGGUUGGCCGGCCACAUUGGGACUGAGACACGGCCCAGACUCCUACGGGAGGCAGCAGUGGGGAAUAUUGGGCAAUGGGCGCAAGCCUGACCCAGCAACGCCGCGUGAAGGAAGAAGGCUUUCGGGUUGUAAACUUCUUUUCUCAGGGACGAAGCAAGUGACGGUACCUGAGGAAUAAGCCACGGCUAACUACGUGCCAGCAGCCGCGGUAAUACGUAGGUGGCA